rnacentral:rRNA from 1 species
AGUGAACGCUGGCGGUAGGCCUAACACAUGCCAGUCGAACGGCAGCACAGUAAGAGCUUGCUCUUACGGGUGGCGAGUGGCGGACGGGUGAGGAAUACAUCGGAAUCUACUUUUUCGUGGGGGAUAACGUAGGGAAACUUACGCUAAUACCGCAUACGACCUACGGGUGAGAGCAGGGGAUCUUCGGACCUUGCGCGAUUGAAUGAGCCGAUGUCGGAUUAGCUAGUUGGCGGGGUAAAGGCCCACCAAGGCGACGAUCCGUAGCUGGUCUGAGAGGAUGAUCAGCCACACUGGAACUGAGACACGGUCCAGACUCCUACGGGAGGCAGCAGUGGGGAAUAUUGGACAAUGGGCGCAAGCCUGAUCCAGCCAUACCGCGUGGGUGAAGAAGGCCUUCGGGUUGUAAAGCCCUUUUGUUGGGAAAGGAAAGCAGCAGGUUAAUACCCCGCUGUUCUGACGGUACCCAAAGAAUAAGCACCGGCUAACUUCGUG